rnacentral:snoRNA from 1 species
AAGACUAUACUUUCAGGAAUCAUUUCUAUAGUUCGUUACUAGUGAUAAUCAAUGAUAAUACUAUUGUUGGCUGUGGCCUAGAAGAAAAGACAAUAAUUUUUAAAAGC